rnacentral:tRNA from 1 species
GUUUUUAUAGUUUAAAAAAAACAUUGAUCUUGUAAAUCAAAAUUGAAAUUAAUCUAAAAACA